rnacentral:rRNA from 1 species
GACGAACGCUGGCGGCGUGCUUAACACAUGCAAGUCGAACGGAAAGGCCCUGCUUUUGUGGGGUGCUCGAGUGGCGAACGGGUGAGUAACACGUGAGUAACCUGCCCUUGACUUUGGGAUAACUUCAGGAAACUGGGGCUAAUACCGGAUAGGAGCUCCUGCUGCAUGGUGGGGGUUGGAAAGUUUCGGCGGUUGGGGAUGGACUCGCGGCUUAUCAGCUUGUUGGUGGGGUAGUGGCUUACCAAGGCUUUGACGGGUAGCCGGCCUGAGAGGGUGACCGGCCACAUUGGGACUGAGAUACGGCCCAGACUCCUACGGGAGGCAGCGGUGGGGUAUAGUGCACAAUGGGCGGAAGCCUGAUGCAGCAACGCCGCGUGCGGGAUGACGGCCAUCGGGUUGUAAACCGCUUUCGCCUGUGACGAAGCGUGAGUGACGGUAAUGGGUAAAGAAGCACCGGCUAACUACGUG